rnacentral:rRNA from 1 species
AUUGAACGCUAGCGGGAUGCUUUACACAUGCAAGUCGAACGAGUGGCGGACGGGUGAGUAAUAUAUCGGAACGUGCCCAGUAGCGGGGGAUAACUACUCGAAAGAGUGGCUAAUACCGCCUACUAGUGGAGCGGCCGAUCCGGGAUUAGCUAGUUGGGGGGGUAAAGGCUCACCAAGGCAACGAUCAGUAGCUGGUUUCAGAGGACGACCAGCCACACUGGGACUGAGACACGGCCCAGACUCCUACGGGAGGCAGCAGUGGGGAAUUUUGGACAAUGGGGGAAACCCUGAUCCAGCCAUCCCGCGUGUAUGAGAAGGCCUUCGGGUUGUAAAGUACUUUUGGCAGAGAAGCGGUAUCUGCAGAAUAAGCACCGGCUAACUACGUGCCAGCAGCCGCGGUAAUAC